rnacentral:rRNA from 1 species
GACGAACCGUGCAAACGUUAUUCGGAAUCACUGGCUUAAAGGCGCGUAGGCGGGCUGUCAAGUCAGAGGUGAAAUCCCACAGCUUAACUGUGGAAGUGCCCCUGAUACUGACGGCCUCGAGGGAGGUAGGGGCGUGUGGAACUUCCGGUGGAGCGGUGAAAUGCGUAGAUAUCGGAAGGAACGCCGGUGGCGAAAGCGACACGCUGGCCCUCUUCUGACGCUGAGGCGCGAAAGCCAGGGGAGCAAACGGGG